CGGUGUGCUUGCGCUCGUGGCUCGUGGUUACGGUCGUCGUCGGUGCGGUUCCUUGAGGUCUCGAGCGUCGGCAGCCUGCGGCGGCAGGCGCGCUUCCCAGCCACGGGCGUGGAGGGUGGCGUCGUGCGGCGUUACCUCCGGCUCACAGGUACCGUAGCGGGCUCCAAUGGAGGGUCAGCGGCAAGAGGAAGAUUAAGCAGCCCUAGGCCGACCUAAGCCUGUGCUCGCGGGACAAGUCUGGAAGGGCGGAGCGAACCCAGCAGCCGGUGUAGCUGCUGCAGUAUGGCGAGUGCCCUAGGUCGAUUUGGCGACCGACCGGUGAAGGGGCGGAUGUGCUCUGCGGGGGUGUAGUCGCGGAGAAGUUGCUCGUUGUCGUCGCUUGCGGAGCGCUUCCCACAGAGACCACCACAGAAAAAGAAGAUUUAGCAAAAUUUCUUCAAACGGUCUAGACACGGUCUUUUUGUUACCGCUACUUGAUACUAACUACAGGACGCUUCCGAUCUAGCCGCGAACUACACCACCGUCUUAUAGAGGCCCGUUUGAUCAUCCGAUCUAGAUCUUUCUUUUAGACAUUUCAAA
rnacentral:rRNA from 1 species